CCUUAGCUUAUCGGUUGAGCGUUCACAGCAAUGUGAAAGAAGCCGGUUCGAGUCCGGCAGGAAACACCA
rnacentral:tRNA from 1 species